rnacentral:rRNA from 1 species
CCCUUAGAUGUCCGGGGCUGCACGCGCGCUACACUGUAGAAAGCAGCGUGUUUUAAAACCUUUCCUGAAAAGGAUGGGUAACCCCAGCAAAAUUCUACGUGCUUGGGAUAGAGAUUUGCAAUUUUCUCUCUUGAACGAGGAAUUCCCAGUAAGUGCGAGUCAUCAGCUCGCGUUGAUUACGUCCCUGCCCUUUGUACACACCGCCCGUCGCUACUACCGAUUGGGAAAAUUUUAGAGAGUCCUGGACUGAUGAUUGUUCGGCUUCACGGCCUUACUUUCGUCGGGAAAGAAUUCGAUAAUAUUUUUCUAGAGGAAGUAAAAGUCGUAACA